rnacentral:lncRNA from 1 species
AGGAAGGGGGAGAAAGUUACUUCGCAGGCAGCAGGGAUGGAUGGGCUCACCUUCCAUGUUUGUUGCCAUGGAGAUGAAUUCCAGCCAGUAGACUUGUUGGCAGGUUUGUCUGUGCUCGCCGAUCUCGGUUCGUGUAAACGGCGUGUUCUGAGGACCUGCGUGGAGUCACAGGACCGUGGGUAGCGCUUUCCUGGCCUUACUUGUGGAUUAAGGCGUGAGCUUGCAGCUGCUGUGCCUGCCAGCCUGUGGUCAUGCUCCCUGCUGUGACGGUCAGGGACUCUGUCUGAAAGGGACCAUUGAAGAAAUGCACAUUGCAAUGAACACAUGCUCUUCAAAUUCUUGCACAACUUCCAUAGAAACUACUGAGAGAAAUGAGACUCACAACAGCCUUCUAAAGUGAUGAGGCUCACCCAUGCUUUCAAAGCCUAUGAUCUACUAUCAGAACUAAAAACCAGGUGCUUUCCAACCUCAGUUCUGCCAAUGAAGAACAGUGUUGCAAAUUUCCCAGGAAGCAGAGGAGAAAGUAUUUGUCCCAGCAGCUGCUGCAGGGAAGGAACUGCUGUCUUUACCUGAAGAGAAGUGGAGAACUGAAAUGCCUCAGCCGAGGAGAAAGCCUAAUUUUCUCUGCCAGAUUCCAGCACCUGUCUGCUAACUGCAACCAUUAGGCCCCAGGGGUGACAGUACAGAAACACAAAAGUAUCUGUUGUGUUUAGGACACUAUGUGGGUAGAACGCCAAACUCAGAAUUUUGUAGAUGACUCUCAUCUCUAAUAAACUGUGUCUGCCUU